CACUUCAUGUCUUGGUGGGUUUUAUUUUCUUACUAGAAAUCAAUCUAGGAAUCAGUGAAAAAUGUAGGGUUCUUUUAAGAAUCCUUUGUGCUUAAGCCUAAUUACCUAAAUUGAUUCCCUUUUAAUUUGGUGUUUAUGAUCGUUAGGAUGUACACUUCAGUUUUAAAAGGUGUGAAGUUCAAAACUAAAGGGUGGCUUUAGCAAGGCACAUGGCACCUGAGGCCUUUUUACUGGGUCUGGAAAGGCAGGCUUUUAGCUUUGGGUCUGGGAACCAUGCAGGGGUAUCCCUAGACAUGUAUCCUAGUCAUUUUAGCUCGCUAGAGUCCUUCCACCUGGAAUGCCACGCUGCACAGAAGGACACGUGUACACCUCUGACCCCCAGUCGGCACUCACAGUCUGGAAAUGGUCCUGCCUCCUGCUUGCCCUCCGCACCUUGGAUACAGCGACGCCCACACCUAUCUUGUGGUCUUGGCGCCCGGAUAGCUGUAAAUCCCUACGUGGGAAGUGACCAUGUUCCUUUUAAAUUCUCUGUGGCGUCUUUUACCUGUUGGGUGCUCAGUAGAUUUGGAUUGAAGACAAUUACGCGUUCAGAGAACUAGGCCAGGAAUCCUCUGCUGCUUAUCCUAUACCCGGCUCCCUUGUCUUCCGGUGGAAAUGGGAGACUUGAGCCAGGACUCUCAGUGGGGAAGCGGUGGUGCAUGUCCAUCACCUAAGGGACUGUUGAUCCUCAGGUAACUGUUGCCACCACAACAGUGUGUAACAAACCAUCCCAAAGCUUGAAGCUUAACAUAAUAAGCGUUUAUUCUGCAAUUUAGGCUGGACGUGGCUGGACAGUUCUGGUCUUGACUGGGCCCCUUCCUGUGCCUGGGAUUUGACAGGUUUAGCUGGUCUAGGAUGACCUCAGCCCUCACAGCUAGGGCAGCUCAGGUGGACUCCAUGUCUCUCAUCUUCAGCAGCCUGGCCUGGGCAUGUUGUCACAGCAGAAGCUGAGGAGCUAGAUGAGAGGAGACUACCCCUGUCACAAUUGCUGACAUCUCAUUGGCCAAAGCGAGUCACAGGGCCAAGUUCAGGAUCAAGGGGCUGGUGGGCAGAUACACUCCAGCAGUCGAUGUGAGGAGUGGGAAAGGUCUUUGGAUCCCGGGAGGUGUGGGAAUUGGGGCAGUUACUGCAAUCGAUCUGCCUCCGUGGACCCCAUGUCUCCACCUUGGUUGAGAACCCUGGGCUGCAUGAUCACUAAGGCCCCUCAGGGCUCUGGCUUUUCUCCUGGCCAGAGGGAUAAAAGUCCGGAAGAGGUAAGAAAGACAGCUUUGUGUUCGUGGUUCCUGCAGAGGGCGCCAAGCCCAAGCCAAUGGCUCCUCUAGGCGGGCACUUCACUCUGUACACUGCGUGUAGUUUGCUAACCUACCCUUUCCAACCCAAAGCACCACUCUAGUUACCUAUUGCUAAACGACAAACUGCCCCGAAACUUAGUGGCUUAAAACAACCACCAUUUGAUCUGAUGGAAUCUUUUGGUUAAGAAUUAGGACAGAGCUUGGCUGGGCAAUCCUGCUUCUUGUGCUUCAACUGAGUCACUCAGUUGGCAGAUGGGCAGGCGUGGCGAGUCCAAGCUGGCCUCACUCACACGUCUGGCGCAUGGUGGGUGGCUGGAAGCAGGCUCAUUUGGGGCCAUACAUGGCCUCUGUAGCAAGGCCAUCUCAGGGAGGCCAUCUUACGCGCUGGCUGCCUCCCCCUAGGACAGGGGUUCUGAAAAGCUGCGUGGCCUUUUAUGACCUAGCCCAGAAGGCACAGGCAUCACCACCGCAGUGUUCUAUUGGUCAAAAGCUCACCUAGACUCAAGAGGAAGGGACAUAGACCUCCCCCCGGCUUUAAUGACGAGUAUAAAAAAGCCACCCACCCGAAGUCCCCAGCUGUCUUCCCUGUGUUUUUUGCCUAGUCUUCUGCAGUUGUUCUCAGAUGAGACAUCUCCCCAGGGCAGGCUCUUAGGUCCCUGGUCUAGCAGCAUCAGCAUCCCCUGAGACCUUGUUAGAAACCCAGAUUUUCAGGCCCCACCCCAGACCUGCUGAGUCAGAAUGACAAGCCCUUCGGGUCAUUCUGAUGAACCCUAAAGCUUGAGAACCACUGCUCCAGGACACAGCACCCUUGGUGAGUCUCAAGUGAUGACCCAUGACCACGAUGACUGCCUUGAACUUCCCAUCUAGGCCCUGUCAUAGUCUCAGCCAUGCCACGUGACAGCUUGAGAGUAGCCAACGGAAUCCAUCACCCCUCCAAGGACGUACCCCGUCACAGCUGGAGGGCAGAAUCCACACUCACCAGCGGUUAGAGUUGGAAAAUUCAACCUCUGUCUCAAGUCUCUCAGGUGAGGAAACUGAGGCUGUGGGAAGUGAUGAACCAAGUAUGAACGGGUAAGGGGCCUCCCACCAGCAGAUGAUCCCAGGAGGUGUUUCUGCGGCUGCCUGGCCUGCUGACAGGUGUCCGUGCUCCUGGCGAAGCUGCUCCCUACGCUGCGGAGUUAGUGUUUCAGGGGAGGCACGGGUCCACCUUCCCUGAUCUUUCAUCUUUUCAUUUCAGAAUGCUGAAGGGGGAGAAUGACUAUUACUAUAUAUAUUCUCAACACAUGUGACCUUGAAUCCUUUCAUUUUCUGAGCCUUUCAGAACACUCCCUAGAAAUAGCUGGAGGCGGCCCCCCUCUAAUACUGCAGGGUCCAGGGACAAGAGCACAGAUGGUGGCUCCCACACGAAAUGUCUGAGUAUUCACAUUAGGAUCAAACUGACAAACUGUUACGCAUUAAAUAGGUUCUGCUUACACUUUCAUGAAGACUGGAAUUUUUAGAUUCCUCAAAGUUUUCUGUGGCAGCACCAGGAGAGCGGGCCUCCCUGCCCCUGGCCCGUCUCACGCCAGGAUGUGCGGCCUGUGUCUCCAAGCUCCAUCUACCACGCCUGCAAAACAGCUUGUCCCUGGCCACCCCUCACGCUUACAGGUGUAUGCGAGCCACAGUCAGGAGGACAGGCGCGGAGAGAGGGCUGUGUGGCCCCGGAAGCAGGCUCAGGACCACUCGGGUGGAGAGUUAGGGUUUCCUGGGACCUGCAGCAUGGGGUGUGCAAGUGUCACCAUGGCCCCGUGGGGAGGGUCCUGGCCAGAGGAAGGCCAGAGUAGUGCCCUCCAAGGAGUGGGACCCAGGACUGGGCCACUCUUGGCCGGGUCCAAGGGCAGUACUGGACUUCCACUCUGUCCUAUGCAAGAUCAUAAAGCAAGGCUGGGGGUGGGCAAGACCUGGCUUGGUGACCUUGGACCUCAGUUUCCUCCCUCGUCCCUGAGGGAGCAGGACUGCUUCCCAUUCUAGAACCCUCUGUCGAGUCUGGAAGCAGACUGGAUUUCAGAGCCCUUAUCCCAUCCAGCAGUUCUGGGACACCAGCCCCAAACCCCCAGGGAAGAGAGAGCCACAGUAGGGAGGAACACUGCCUUUAUUUCUUGAUUUCCCAUCCGGAGAUGCCAGGAUGAAGGUGGUGGCUUCACAUGGGACAGACGUGGGCCAUGGAACAUCAGCCCGGGACUUGCAGUAGAGGCAGAGGGAGCCAGACUGACCCACGUGUCCACCCACCCUGGGACUGAUUCGCCCACGACUGGCCAGCAGCACAAUGCCAAGUGCCCAAGACACAGGCCUUGUACACAGGCCCAGGAGUGUCCCUCCAUCUGGUAGCAAAUGGGCAAAUCCCACCUGAGGUCUGCCGUGGGUAAGACGUCUUUCCCAAACAAAGCUAAGCCUCACUCAGGAAAUAUGGUGAUGAAAGGCAGCUCACAGACACGCAGGGCUAACGAUCCUGUAGAAACGGGGGCUCGGGCGCACGCACACGAGGAUAAGACUGUGCACCACGAAGACAGGGAGGGAGGUCACAGGGCUCACGGGAGUCAGCAGGCAGCCAGGAGCUGGCGCCCAGGACAGAUGCCGUCUCUGCCCGGAGCAUGUACUCAGUCGUGGGGCCCAGACGGGAAACCAGGCGGCAGUUUCCAAAGGACUCAGGAAACACCAGUGGCCGGCCUGCUAGCCAAUGUCCUGAAGGAGAAAUGGACACGUGGGACAUUCAUAGGACGGAGGUCCAAGUGCGCAGAGCCAGGAGGUCAGGGUGGUACCGGGGAUGGGGAGGCCCCGAGAGCAGCCCCUUCGGGAAACGUCGAAAAGAAGGCCACUGCUCUGCUUUCGUCUACACGGUAAGCACCCCAGCACCCCAGGGUUUGGCGGCGGUCUCGGUACUUAUUCACAGUUGGGGCUCUGCCUGGGGAGGCCGCAUCCACACGAGGCCGCGCUGGGCUGUGGUUAGCUGCGGGGUGGGGGGCUCCCUAGCUGGGCCCAGAUCUGGGGGCCACCCCCAAAGAACAGGCCCACUUCCCUGCUCUGUGGUUCCCAGGCCCGGGGAGCCCCGGCCAGCUGCCAGGUGAGAAUGCCCACAUUUCCAGAGGUCAGAGGAGACGAGAGGCCUGCGCCCCAGAUGCCCCCAGCGGACGGGAGCAAUCUCCAACAGUCUGUGUGCCUAACAGUGCAAAGCCAAGUCCACGAUAUUCGGAAGGGAGGGCCCCGCAGGCCGUCGGUCUGGCCGGAGGGUCGCGAUGGGCGUGUGGAGGAGGCCCGGUACUCGGGGUUAAGACAGGAUGCAGUGGUCCUAGGUUCUUCCAGUCGGACUGCGUUAAAAGCACAUCUUAGCAGCAA